UACGGGGGGGGCAAGCGUUGUUCGGAAUUACUGGGCGUAAAGGGCUCGUAGGCGGCCAACUAAGUCGGAUGUGAAAUCCCCAGGCUCAACUUGGGAACUGCAUCCGAUACUGGAUGGCUUGAAUUCGGGAGAGGGAUGCAGAAUUCCAGGUGUAGCGGUGAAAUGCGUAGAUAUCUGGAGGAAUACCGGUGGCGAAGGCGGCAUCCUGGACCGACAUUGACGCUGAGGCGCGAAAGCUAGGGGAGCAAACGGG
rnacentral:rRNA from 1 species